rnacentral:rRNA from 1 species
UACGUAGGAUGCAAGCGUUGUUCGGAAUUACUGGGCGUAAAGAGUGCGUAGGCGGUUACGUAAGUCUGAUAUUAAAAACCGGAGCUCAACUCCGGGGCUGUAUCGGAAACUGUGUAACUAGAGGACAAUAGAGGAAGUCGGAAUUCUCAGUGUAGCGGUGAAAUGCGUAGAUAUUGGGAAGAACACCAGUGGCGAAGGCGGCUUCCUGGACCGAUUACUGACGCUGAGGCGCGAAAGCUAGGGGAGCAAACGGG